rnacentral:rRNA from 1 species
CAGCAGCCACGGUAAUACGUAGGUGGCAAGCGUUGUCCGGAAUUAUUGGGCGUAAAGGGCUCGCAGGCGGUUUCAUAAGUCUGAUGUGAAAGCCCCCGGCUCAACCGGGGAGGGUCAUUGGAAACUGGGAAACUUGAGUGCAGAAGAGGAGAGUGGAAUUCCACGUGUAGCGGUGAAAUGCGUAGAGAUGUGGAGGAACACCAGUGGCGAAGGCGACUCUCUGGUCUGUAACUGACACUGAGGAGCGAAAGCGUGGGGAGCGAACAGGAUUAGAUACCCCAGUAGUCCCUGUCUCUUAUAC